rnacentral:rRNA from 1 species
AUUUUUUAAUUUUUUUUAAGCAGACUUUAUUUGUUGUACCUUUUGUAUCAGGGUUUAUUAAUUAAAAAUUAAUUAUUAUUAAUUUUCUCGAAAUUAAAAGAGUUAUAUUUUAAUGAUAGUUUACGUUUUAUAGUAAUUUUUAAUUUUAAUAUAGGGGUUAUAUGCCAUUCGAUUUUGAAUAUCUAGUUUUCUAAUAAUUUAAUUUAAUUAAGAUUAAUAUUAAGUUGAAUUUAUUAUUUUAUUUU